GUUUUUAAAAGCAUUUUCUUUAUAAGAUAUGCAUCCGUCAAAUUUAUACGUACAUCCUGGUCCAGUAGAGCAUGAUGUAUUAAAAAUUCAAGUUCAUCAUCGUUCCGAAGGAAUUUGAAAUGGUAGCAUAAAAGAAGAGAGGUCUUGCUUAUAUACGCGUCGUCGUGAUAUUGAAUUUUGGCAACAUUUAAAAUAUCAUCCAUUACAUUCUCGCAUCCUUCAAUAUCUUGAAAAUUGUAGAUUUAAAGGAAUUCUUGAUGUUGGAUGUGUGCCGUAUGACUCCGGAUUAAUUUCUGCUUUAAUUGAAAGAUUUGGGCAUGGGAAAGAAUUAUUCCCCUGCAACCAUUGCCAAAGCCUCUAAGAACCAAUCAACUUGAGGCUUCAACUGUGCUUGCACAUAAAUGGACGCGACGUAGAAAUCAUCAAAAUGAGGCACGAACUGUAAUCGGUGUGAUUAGGG